GGGGAAUUUUGGGCAAUGGGUGCAACCCUGACCCAGCGACGCCGCGUGAAGGACGAAGGCCUUCGGGUUGUAAAGCUCUGUUCUUGGGGACGAAUAACAUGACGGUACGCAAGAAGAAAGCCCCGUCUAACUACGUGCCAGCAGCCGCGGUAAUACGUAGGGGGCAAGCGUUGUCCGGAAUUACUGGGCGUAAAGGGCGCGUAGGCGGCCCCGUGUGUCGUAUGUGAAAGCCCCAGGCUCAACCUGGGAAGCGCAUGCGAAACUGCGGGGCUUGAGCAGAGGAGAGGAGAGCGGAAUUCAUGGUGUAGCGGUGAAAUGCGUUGAUAUCAUGAGGAACACCCGUGGCGAAGGCGGCUCUCUGGAAUCUUGCUGACGCUCAGGCGCGAAAGCCGGGGGAGCAAACA
rnacentral:rRNA from 1 species